rnacentral:sRNA from 1 species
CUUGGCGACGAUUCAGCUGAAUCUGGAUACGAAUUGUACGAGAACUUGUCCAUUGUAUCGCGAUAUUUUCGAAAUUAUCGUCCUCUUCUUUGCUCAAUCCAUGAAA